UACGUAGGGAGCGAGCGUUGUUCGGAGUUACUGGGCGUAAAGCGUGCGUAGGCGGUGUCUUAAGUUUGUUGUGAAAUCUCCCGGCUUAACCGGGAGGGUGCGGCGAAUACUGAGAUGCUGGAGUGCCGGAGAGGUAAGCGGAAUUCCUGGUGUAGCGGUGAAAUGCGUAGAUAUCAGGAGGAACACCUGCGGUGUAGACGGCUUACUGGACAGUAACUGACGCUGAGGCACGAAAGCGUGGGUAGCAAACAGG
rnacentral:rRNA from 1 species